GCCGUCCGCUGCGAUGUUACAUCAUAAAAAGCUAACGGCUCCCUCUAAGCCCGGGUUCAAAGUCUCUCCCCCUCCUCCCAGCACACACAUACCCGGGAAGAAAGCUGGAGCUGUCGCUCCUCUGCCAGCCCUCGUUGUGCCUUCCCUUUGUGCGAGCUCCCGCUAGCUAAGCAUGCAGCGAAGGAGGGAGGAUGCAAAGGCGGCCCGGGGGGAAUAAGCGCUCCCGCAUGCAGCCAGGUAGGGAACGGCCCUGUCCGAGGGGGCCCGGUGACACGGAGGCGGCUCUCACCUCCCCCCUCCCCAUGCGCUCACCUUCACGGUUUCUUCCGAGCCCUGAGAUAAAGCUACGGUUUGUCACCGUCCUCGGCAGCUAAAGAUCUCUGCACCCUCGAAGUCUGUGCAGCUCCUCAGUCAACUGAAACCACUCGUUCAAGACAGCAACAAUCCAGAUAUACUAGCAAGUCAUAAAACUGAACAAAAGCCGACAAACCUUAGAGCACCAUCGCUAUAUGGCCCAGACAAAUUACGACCGUCUAGGGGGAAUCGUUGUGUGCUUAUCCCGUGUUACCAACGGUAACGCUAUUUAUCGACCAAAAAAAAAAAAAAAAUCACUAAUUCCACAUCUUUAAGCAAAACUACGUUACAUAAAUAUCUACAACCAGAAAGAGAGAGAGAAAUUCAGAGCCCCGAAGCAGCCAUUAAGACUUUAAGGACAUACUGAGAACGUCUAAAAUCGUUAAUCCAUACAGGUGCGGAUGACUACAGCCUAGGAAAAUGAUACUGGCUCUUUAAACCAUAAAGAUGUGUUUAUAGGUUCAUCAAGAGAAAUUAAAGUUGGCUGUUAG